GACGAACGCUGGCGGCAUGCCUAACACAUGCAAGUCGAACGAGACCUUCGGGUCUAGUGGCGCACGGGUGCGUAACGCGUGGGAAUCUGCCCUUGGGUUCGGAAUAACUCAGAGAAAUUUGAGCUAAUACCGGAUGAUGACGUAAGUCCAAAGAUUUAUCGCCCAAGGAUGAGCCCGCGUAAGAUUAGCUUGUUGGUAGGGUAAUGGCCUACCAAGGCGACGAUCUUUAGCUGGUCUGAGAGGAUGAUCAGCCACACUGGGACUGAGACACGGCCCAGACUCCUACGGGAGGCAGCAGUGGGGAAUAUUGGACAAUGGGCGAAAGCCUGAUCCAGCAAUGCCGCGUGAGUGAUGAAGGCCUUAGGGUUGUAAAGCUCUUUUACCAGGGAUGAUAAUGACAGUACCUGGAGAAUAAGCUCCGGCUAACUCCGUGCCAGCAGCCGCGGUAAAAUCAACGUGUA
rnacentral:rRNA from 1 species